UACGGAGGGUGCAAGCGUUGCUCGGAAUUAUUGGGCGUAAAGGGCGCGUAGGCGGCAUGGCAAGUGGAUGGUGAAAUCCCUCGGCUUAACCGAGGAACUGCCGUCCAAACUGCUUCGCUUGAGACCGGGAGAGGUGAGUGGAAUUCCCAGUGUAGCGGUGAAAUUCGUAGAUAUCGGGAGGAACACCUGUGGCGAAGGCGGCCACCCUGGACAACAACGUGACGCUGAGAGCGAAAGCGUGGGUAGCA
rnacentral:rRNA from 1 species